rnacentral:rRNA from 1 species
AUUGAACGCUGGCGGCAGGCCUAACACAUGCAAGUCGAGCGAGUGGCGGACGGGUGAGUAAUGUAUGGGGAACUGCCUGAUAGAGGGGGAUAACUACUGGAAACGGUGGCUAAUACCGCAUACUAUCAGAUGAACCCAUAUGGGAUUAGCUAGUUGGUGGGGUAAAGGCUCACCUAGGCGACGAUCCCUAGCUGGUCUGAGAGGAUGACCAGCCACACUGGAACUGAGACACGGCCCAGACUCCUACGGGAGGCAGCAGUGGGGAAUAUUGCACAAUGGGCGCAAGCCUGAUGCAGCCAUGCCGCGUGUAUGAAGAAGGCCUUAGGGUUGUAAAGUACUUUCAGCGGGGAGGCGUUACCCGCAGAAGAAGCACCGGCUAACUCCGUGCCAGCAGCCGCGGUAAUUC